rnacentral:lncRNA from 1 species
AGAGAGCCUACAGAAUAGGAGAAAAUCUUCACCACAUGCACCUCAGAGCAUUAUUCUCCAGGAUAUAUGCAGAUCUCAAAAAACAUGACACCAAAAAAAACAAAUAACCAAAUCAAUAAAUGGGCUAAGGAACUAACAGACACUUCACAGAAGAAGCAACAAAUACAUGAAAAAUGUUCAAUAUUUAGCUAUUAGUAGAAAGCAAAUCAAAACUUCUCCAAGAUUUUAUCCCACCCCAGUCGACAAACAUGGUUAUCAAGAAUACAAUCAUCAAGUAACAAUAAAUGUUAGGGAGGAUGUGGGGAAAAGGGUGCACGCACACAUUGCUUGUGUGACUGCAAAUUGAGGCAACCAUUAUGGAAAGCAGUAUGGAAAUUCCUCAGAAAACGUGGACUGGAACCAACAUCUGACACAGCUCUCCCUUUCCUCAUUUUAUAACCAAACGACUUAAAACCAGCAUAUUACAAUGACACAGUCACAUUAUGUUUACAGCAGCUCAAUUCAUAAUAGAUAAACUAUGGAACUAACCUAGGUGUCUUUCAACAGAUAAAUGAAUAAAGAAAAUGUGGUGUGUAUGAGUAUAGAUAUACAUAUGUGUGUAUGUGUGU